rfam:Oryza glumipatula chromosome 7, whole genome shotgun sequence.
AAUAAGUGCAACUAUAAGUUUUCACGCCCAACUUUGAUCGUCUGUCUUAUUUGAAUAUUUUUUAUAAUUAGCAAUUUUGUUGUUAUAAGAUAAUAAAACAUGAAUAGUACUUUACUAGUGACUUAUGUUUUUAAUUUUUUUUAAUUUUUUUUAAAUAAGACGAAUAAUCAAAGUUGGGCGCUGAAAACCAUAGCUGUACUUAUU